rnacentral:rRNA from 1 species
UUCGCCUUCAUGAAGCCGGAAUUGCUAGUAAUGGCAGGCCAGCAUACUGCCGUGAAUACGUUCCCGGGCCUUGUACACACCGCCCGUCACACCAUGAGAGUUGGGAAUACCCGAAGCCUGUGAGCUAACAUUAAGAGGCAGCAGUCGAAGGUAGAAUCAAUGAUUGGGGUGAAGUCGUAACAAGGUAGC